UUGAAUAGAUCGCCAGUAUGGCUGUUUCAGAGAAUACGCGGAAGUUGAACGGAACUGUUAAUCAUUAAAUGACAUUUUAACGAGAAAAACAGGAUUACAGCGAAUCCGCAUCAACUAAAUUAGAUUUCAUUUGCUGUACCUAAGUGUCUCCCUGCGUCAAUUGUUGUUAAAUCCAAUACGGCACAUGCUCGACAUGUGACGCUUCGCUUCAUGGUAUGUCCAAACACAAUACAAUGACUGUAGGUUUUGAAUAGGCUCUAAAUUCGAAGAGACCCGGACCGGUUCAGAAGCUGCAUGGACCAGUUUUGUAGAAAGAGAAGGGAAAACAAAGAUUCGGUCAGCUGCUCUCUCCACGCUACUGCUGUUCGAUGUAGACGGAUGAGUCAAACGAAUGUGAAAGGCCAAAAACUUACCAUGGAUAGAGUCCGAGUUACUUUAUAUUACAUACACACAUAGUAUGGGUACACAUACAAGUAUACAAAUUAUGAACAGUUCACCCUACGUAACUUUUCAAAGACGAUCCUUAAAUAUUCGCUGUUUUUGUUCUUUUCUUUCAGUGACUCGAGAACCCUAAGUAAAAGUAUUAGACUAAAAGGGGAAAAUUUGAAGAAUAAAUUCGAAUUUUAAGAAGCCAGGUGAUAUAAGAAACGUCGACGAUGGGAAAGCAGUUUUGCAUGAAAGAGAACAAAGUGAAUCUAAAACAAUGAUAGUCAGAAAGCGUUUCUUUACACAUUCGUUUAACCGAAAUAAACCCUUAAUGUGUACUAUCUUCAAUUCAUGAACACUAAUGAAUAUGUAAUUCCAUAAAUGACAUUAGAUAAAUUUAUGUACAUUUGUACCUGCUUAAAAGUAAUUCAGAAUUAGAGUUUGUAUAUUAAAUUAAAGGUCUUGGCGUUCUACGUUAAUUACAAUAUAGACGGUUCACGCGUACCUGACCAAAACGAAAACCAUAACAAGAAGACAUGCGUUUUCAUGAGAUUUUUCGAGUUUUAUUAGUGAGUGAUAUCAAAUGAGAGACACAUUUGUGUUAAUAUGUACUCAAAACUCAAAAACAUUAACAAGGUGAAUUGAUUUGGUCAUUUUUAGGAAUCUCUAGUGUUUCAAUAUUGCUAAUAUAAAUCUUUGUAUAAUCACAAAGCGAAUCAUCAAAAUCCAUUCGGGUUACGUUAGUUUUGAAAAGGGUUACUUACUGUAACACGGGAGAUGAUUUAAUUUAAAUGUUCUUUGAUUAAAAGGAUAAAAGUGCAGGUAGCGACUACAAUUAUGUUUUUACGAUUCUCCGAAAAACAGUUUUUAUAUGACAGAUAAAACUCCAAGCUCAUCAUUUAAUGUGUACUCAGUUCAGGUACAAAUAUAAGUGCUUUACUUUACAAAAGUAAUUAGUUUCCUUCUUGUAAGUGAAUUCAACCAUUUUUAUGGAUGCAAGCAUCAGUCAAAGUCAAACAUUUUACCUGGAGUAUCAGCCAAGGUAAAUUAAUUUUUAAAAAUGGCAGUCGUCAUAUUUUUAGGAUGUCUUAGCAAAUCAACCAAGCACCAGCAAAUUCGUGCGGUUGCCGAUGUCUGCACACAAAAUGAAAAUUUAUGUACCCUCCUGUUAGGAACGAGAUAAGCAGUUGUUAUCAUAAGCCCUUAUCGAUUCACGAUAGCAUCUCCGCUAACUCUUUUUAACAAAAUUACAAAAGGGAGAAUCCA